CCUACGGGAGGCAGCAGUGAGGAAUAUUGGUCAAUGGGCGGGAGCCUGAACCAGCCAAGUCGCGUGAGGGAAGACGGUCCUAUGGAUUGUAAACCCCUUUAGGAGGGGAGCAAUGCCGGGCACGCGUGCCCGGAGGGAGAGUACCCGCAGACUAAGCAUCGGCUAACUCCGUGCCAGCAGCCGCGGUAAUACGGAGGAGGCGAGCGUUAUCCGGAUUUAAUGGGUUUAAAGGAUGCGUAGGCGGAUUUUUAAGUCAGCGGUAAAAUGUCCGGGUUCAACCCGGGUCGGCCGUUGAAACCGGGGAUCUUGAGGGGGCGAGAGGUAUGCGGAAUGCGUGGUGUAGGGGUGAAAUG
rnacentral:rRNA from 1 species